UCCGGUUUGGCACCGGCAGUCUCCAAUGAGUCCCCGGCAUUACCCGCUGGCAACAUUGGACAGGGGUUGCGCUCGUUGCGCCACUUAAGGCAACACCUCACGACACGAGCUGACGACAGCCAUGCACCACCUGUACACCAACCACAAGGGAAACCCCAUCUCUGAGGCUGUCUGGUGUAUGUCAAGCCUUGGUAAGGUUCUUCGCGUUGCGUCGAAUUAAUCCGCAUGCUCCGCCGCUUGUGCGG
rnacentral:misc_RNA from 1 species